UUUAAAAUACGACAAAACAUAAGUUGUGAGUUUUAAUAUAAAUAUUGUAUCGUAGACAAUAUCCAAACUCAAAUGAAGUCCUCAUUACAAUUAUUAUCACACUAUUUUAUAAAAAAGUGAGGACUACUAUAUCCACCAUCUUGGACCAUCACUCCAUUUUCCGACUAGUCCCGACUAUAUUCUCAUUUUCUGAAGAGAACAAUGAAAGAAAAGAGUGAGCUCAACUAGCCCAGUAAAGAAUAUUAUGACUAAUAUAAUGUAGAAUAAAUUAUCAUUAGCCUUCAAUAGUGUAAAAUCUGAUAGAAUACAAUAAACAACAAGUUUAGAUCAACAACUGCAACGAAACAAACAAUUCAUUAGAACAGUCAAGUAGAGAAUGAUAUCUACUAUCUUUUUAUGACUUCAAAGUUCAUCAUCAAUAUUUUAUCUCUGUAACACAACUCAAUAAAUAUUUCACAUCAUCAAAUUAUCCAUGCACUACGGGCCAAGGAUAUUCGUUAGUAUCACCAAUGGUUAUGAUCAUGCCAAACAAUUGUCCAUCUAUGCACUACGUACGGGCCAAAGAGGACUUUCACCACAUCAUUUGUCUGUAACAUUACAGGUCAUGAUUAUUACUAAUACACAAUUCUUGGUCAUAAUCAUACCAAUCAAACAGUCCAUCUAUGCACUACGGGCCAAAGAUGACUUUCACCACAAUAUAAGCAUGAGGAUGAUGACAAUGAUAUAAAAAAUCAAUCAAGUGAGAUCAAGGAUAAAUAUUAAAGAUUUAUCAUUCAAUUUAUCUAGAGUUUAAGAAUGUCUAAAUUGUCAACAUGAUAACUAAUUGUGGAGUAAAAUUCAAGAAUGAUGUUCAUGUAUCAAAAAUAAUUUGGACAGAAAAAAAACCAAUUUUGUCGUUAAUAGUACCCCGGAUGAAUAAUACUCGAGUGAAUAGUACCCCAGGAAUAGUACCCCUGACAAGAAAAGAUUAAAAUUUCAUAAGAAAGUUCAGAAAAAUAUUUUUGUAAAACGAUACUAGCUAGAUGAAGCGCAAAAUUCAAGGACAUUCUACUAAUUUCAAAGAGUAUAUAAGCAAUACUUAUCAAAAUAAGUGUAGAUUUAGGAAUAUGAAACGAAAUAAUAUUACUUACAUACUAUAGAGUAUGGAAGAAAAUAAUAUUUCUUACGAAUAUUGAACAAAAAUAAUAUCCCUUACCUUAGUAGGAGAGUAAUUUUGACUGGUAUAGCGAAGAUAUUCUUGAAGAAAACUUGCACUAUUUGAUACACUCAAAGUAUCCUUAUGCUCAAAAGAAAUACAAACAAUGUUAUAGAAGAAGAAUUCUCUGAUUCUUGUGUGAUUUUUAUUUCUUAACUAAGUAUCCUAUUUAUAGGAGAAUGGCAGGGUACUAUUUAGGAAAAUCACGGAUCAACAGUAAGAAUUCACGGGUGACUGAAUCGGCGAAAAAUUUUGAUUUUACUAUUCAUUGCUGUGCAAUAAAAUAUUCUAAUAAAACGAAAACUUUAUAUAAAAUAUAAUAUAUUCUAUUUAUAAUCUAAUAAAACGAAUAACUUUAUAUAUAAUAUAAAAAGUAUUCUGUUUUAUAUAAAAAAAAUUCUAUUUUAUUACUAUUAUAAUAAUAAUAAAAUAAAACUAAGAUAACUUUCUACCGGCGAUUUUAAAAAUUGAGUAAGUGGGGGUCCAUCUAAUAAGCCAAACUUACAACAAAUACUUCAUAAAAAAUCCAUCUAUUUAUAUCAAAAAUUGAAUAAAUAUUUAUCACAAACCACUUAUCUUUAAUAAACACAUUUUUAAUCUUUCAACAAUUAUUAAUCAUUAAUAUUAUAACUCACAAUAUUAACAAUCCGAUCAUUCCCAAGAAAGAGGGGGCUUUCCGAUAAGGACUUUUUCUUAUUGGCGCGCAAUUAAAUAAGCUAACCCCUUUCCUCGACAGAACUUUCUAGACAUUGUCAACAAUGCAAAUAAUAAUAUAAAUAACUGUAUCGUCUUAAUUAUUGAUUUAAUAAUAUAAAAUAUUAUGCAGAUGAUACUGUGACAAUAAUUGAAUCAAUAAUAUGAGAUACUAUGUAGCAACUACUGUGACAAUAAUUGAAUAAAACUGAGUGACUUCUUAAUUAGUAAGCAUCAAUAAUCAGAGAUACUGUACAAUACUGUGUGUUACUGUGCAACCACGCGUAUUACUGUACUUUUAUCACCGGGUAUUUCAAUAGUUUAAUAGUAAAAGUCUUGUUGUUAAUUUUAUAAAAAGGUUAUUUCUGUCGCUUUCUAUAUCCGACAGUCAUUCUGUUGUGGGGUCCACCAAUGAUUGUGCCGUCGUACGGAUAUUCCCCGACAAAUAGAAUAUUCUCCGACCAAACGAAUAUUUUAUGACAACUUGUUUACUUUGCAAAAUUUGCACAUAUCACCAAUAAUUAUAGCAUUAUAUUACACACAUUAUUAUUCAAAAUAACAUUUUAAAAAAUUAAAUCUUUAUUCAUAAAAAAUUGGGAUCUUACAUACAUACAUACAUAUAUAUAUAUAUAUAUAUAUAUAUAUAUAUAUAUAUAUAUAUAUAUAUAUAUAUAUAUAUAUANNNNNNNNNNNNNNNNNNNNNNNNNNNNNNNNNNNNNNNNNNNNNNNNNNNNNNNNNNNNNNNNNNNNNNNNNNNNNNNNNNNNNNNNNNNNNNNNNNNNUUUAUUAAUUUGUUAUCGUCUAUUUUGGACAAAUAGAUCAAAUAUCGUCCAUCUCAAACUCGAACGAUGUAGAUUAAAAAAUAGUUCCCCUCAUCCGUUACUACUAAUAGCGAAUGUAAAAAUUACCAAUAUGCCCUCAUUUUAACUAUACAAUACAAGUAAAUUGAACCAUCGGUAAUCAGAUACCAUAAACCCACAUGCCCACAUUCAUAUUGUAGUUCUAGCAGGAAGAAUUCUUUAAUAUUUUUUGUUCAAUUUUGCUACGCAUUUUAUUGCCUUCAUAUGCCUUUGUUUUAUUCAAUUCUUACAUGAUCAAUCCAUGGAUUCAAGUGAAAAAACAAGUUCUAAAAUAAUAAACAUUUUCAAAAUAUGGUCAUUUUCUACAUUUAAAAUAUAUUACAACCCAAUUGAUGAAUUACGUCAUAGUCAUGUAUGAAAUUACAUUUUAUCAAUUAAUUAAUCAUAAUUUAAUUAUAAUUGCAUCAUAGCAAUGCAAAUACAUGACAAAAUUACAACUAAAGUGACUAAUUAUGACAAUACACUACACAACAUUAGUUUUAACUUUGCCUUUUUAAGCCUAUUAACCUCCAUCUCCCAUUUAAAUGUGUAUCUUCUCAUAUUUUUCUUGUUCUUUAGCUUUGUGUUUAAUUUUCUCUAUCAGUAAGCUCAUAACUUCAAUUUUGUUAUUCAUCGCACUCAUUGCUUCGUCUUUAUUAGGAGCCAAUUACCACCACUCGAAAUAGUCACAAUAUCUCACAGAUUCCUAUCAAAAAUAAAGGAAGGAAAAAAAUCAAAACAGAGGAGAGAGGACUGAGUUCACUGUAAUAAGGAAAUGACACUUACCCAUAGUUGCGGCAGUCAUAAAAUCUUCUUCCUCUCCAUCCUUCAUUGAAACACAAAUUCAAGCUGGAAUAUCACAAUAACACAUCCGUUGUUCUUGAGUAAUUGACACAGAUCUCGAACGUGAUACAACCAUGUAAGAUCGACGCUUGGUUCGCAUUAACCUAGAAAACAAAAACCCAACAAAAGCCCUUAUUUUACGUCCCUAAUCGAUGCCAAUUUGGGUAAGUUUCUGAAACCUUAGUUCUUCUUAUUUCUUGACCGCUAGAAAUGAGGAUAAUAUAAAGACCCCAACUUAGAUUCUCCCGCUCAAUU
rnacentral:lncRNA from 1 species